AAAUUAAAGCCGCGCGCUGCUUUUUUCUUACAAUCGAAAUGAAGUGAAGUGAAAUACUCUCGGUCUCCCUUUUUUUUGUUUGUCUUUCUUUUACGCCUUUUUACUGUUCUGUACUAAAGCCAAGUGAGUGCGGCGGCUAUUCUGCAACUCGUCGACAUCGACAGUCUUUACUGUUGUCUGUUGUGGCUACUCAAUUCAGUUUGGCAGCAACAUCAGCAGCAGCCGAACCAUCAUCAUCGCAACAACAUUGUGUCGUUUCUUCAACUCUUCGAUUCUUCAAUUCUUCAAUUCAAUUCAACCCCCAACGCAAACGCAGACGGUACUACGAGUACUUAAGUCAAAAUUUUUAUGUGAUGUGGUGUGGUGGUUCGCGCGUGAACUGACCCAACGCCCCCAGUGAUCGCUUUACAGAAUUUAGUAGUCGAGAAUAGUAGCUGAAAAAGAAAAUGAAAUAAAUUAGAAUUUCGCUGUACUGUGUGAAAGCGUGUGAGACGAAAGCGAAGAAAGUGUAAAACGAUAAAACGCAGUUACCAAAACAACAAGCAACAAACAUAUAGCCAAUAAAAAUGGUUUAAAAACAAGAAGCAAACUAAAAAGACAACAACAAAAGUGAAAAGUACAGUGAAGUUGAACACAAAAUGUGUGUACAACUACAAAUAAAAAA